UCAAUAGAAGCAAUCGAAACCAGUAUCAUUCAUUCACAAACAUCUUUCAUUUAUUCUUUACACAAUCUCAAACCAUAUCAGACUACAUACAUUUUUCAUGAAUUCUAUGCAGAUACACAACAAAUAGAAACAGACUCCAUUCCACUCACCUAUGAGGUUAUUUCUAUGACUCGACGCUCUAAAGAUCAUAACCCCACACAGCAUAUACAGACACAGCCACACAAGAACAUACAUAAGCUUUAAGGACCUCAAACCUUUACACUUUAGAUUGGAGACAUAUGACAUAAUUGAAACAAUACAUUGCAGAAAAGAAAGAAACCUCUUAAUCUUGUUAAAGCUCUAAACUUUUUGUGCUUGAUUCUUGUUGUGAGUGUUGGUGUGUGUGGCGUGAGUCGGGGAUGUAGCAGGGCAGAGGGGCCUCGGCAGAUCGCAGAUGGAAAGGUGAGAAAGAAAGAGAGAGCAAGGGCGAGGGAGAGGAAGGUCAGGGGUGGCGGCGACGGCGGCUGCCGGAGGUCGGCGUUGCUGUCGUCUGCUGGAAGAGAGAAGGGAGAAGAGGGAGUGCUGCGGCGCGCAGCUGGGUGUGUGCGUCUGUGUGUGUUUUGGUGUGUGUGUUUGUGAGAAUGUGUGUGAGUAGGUGAAAGAGAGGGAGAAUAGGAAUUGAAAAGAAAAUG
rnacentral:lncRNA from 1 species